rnacentral:rRNA from 1 species
GAUGAACGCUGGCGGCGUGCCUAAUACAUGCAAGUCGAGCGAACAGAUAAGGAGCUUGCUCCUUUGACGUUAGCGGCGGACGGGUGAGUAACACGUGGGUAACCUACCUAUAAGACUGGGAUAACUUCGGGAAACCGGAGCUAAUACCGGAUAACAUUUGGAACCGCAUGGUUCUAAAGUGAAAGAUGGUUUUGCUAUCACUUAUAGAUGGACCCGCGCUGUAUUAGCUAGUUGGUAAGGUAACGGCUUACCAAGGCGACGAUACGUAGCCGACCUGAGAGGGUGAUCGGCCACACUGGAACUGAGACACGGUCCAGACUCCUUCGGGAGGCAGCAGUAGGGAAUCUUCCGCAAUGGGCGAAAGCCUGACGGAGCAACGCCGCGUGAGUGAUGAAGGGUUUCGGCUCGUAAAACUCUGUUAUUAGGGAAGAACAAAUGUGUAAGUAACUGUGCACGUCUUGACGGUACCUAAUCAGAAAGCCACGGCUAACUACGUG